rnacentral:rRNA from 1 species
AGAGUUUGAUCAUGGCUCAGAUUGAACGCUGGCGGCAGGCCUAACACAUGCAAGUCGAGCGGUAGCACAGAGAGCUUGCUCUCGGGUGACGAGCGGCGGACGGGUGAGUAAUGUCUGGGAAACUGCCUGAUGGAGGGGGAUAACUACUGGAAACGGUAGCUAAUACCGCAUAAUGUCGCAAGACCAAAGUGGGGGACCUUCGGGCCUCAUGCCAUCAGAUGUGCCCAGAUGGGAUUAGCUAGUAGGUGGGGUAACGGCUCACCUAGGCGACGAUCCCUAGCUGGUCUGAGAGGAUGACCAGCCACACUGGAACUGAGACACGGUCCAGACUCCUACGGGAGGCAGCAGUGGGGAAUAUUGCACAAUGGGCGCAAGCCUGAUGCAGCCAUGCCGCGUGUGUGAAGAAGGCCUUCGGGUUGUAAAGCACUUUCAGCGGGGAGGAAGGCGGUGAGGUUAAUAACCUCAUCGAUUGACGUUACCCGCAGAAGAAGCACCGGCUAACUCCGUGCCAGCAGCCGCGGUAAUACGGAGGGUGCAAGCGUUAAUCGGAAUUACUGGGCGUAAAGCGCACGCAGGCGGUCUGUCAAGUCGGAUGUGAAAUCCCCGGGCUCAACCUGGGAACUGCAUUCGAAACUGGCAGGCUAGAGUCUUGUAGAGGGGGGUAGAAUUCCAGGUGUAGCGGUGAAAUGCGUAGAGAUCUGGAGGAAUACCGGUGGCGAAGGCGGCCCCCUGGACAAAGACUGACGCUCAGGUGCGAAAGCGUGGGGAGCAAACAGGAUUAGAUACCCUGGUAGUCCACGCCGUAAACGAUGUCGAUUUGGAGGUUGUGCCCUUGAGGCGUGGCUUCCGGAGCUAACGCGUUAAAUCGACCGCCUGGGGAGUACGGCCGCAAGGUUAAAACUCAAAUGAAUUGACGGGGGCCCGCACAAGCGGUGGAGCAUGUGGUUUAAUUCGAUGCAACGCGAAGAACCUUACCUGGUCUUGACAUCCACAGAACUUNUUGGUGCCUUCGGGAACUGUGAGACAGGUGCUGCAUGGCUGUCGUCAGCUCGUGUUGUGAAAUGUUGGGUUAAGUCCCGCAACGAGCGCAACCCUUAUCCUUUGUUGCCAGCGGUUCGGCCGGGAACUCAAAGGAGACUGCCAGUGAUAAACUGGAGGAAGGUGGGGAUGACGUCAAGUCAUCAUGGCCCUUACGACCAGGGCUACACACGUGCUACAAUGGCAUAUACAAAGAGAAGCGACCUCGCGAGAGCAAGCGGACCUCAUAAAGUAUGUCGUAGUCCGGAUUGGAGUCUGCAACUCGACUCCAUGAAGUCGGAAUCGCUAGUAAUCGUAGAUCAGAAUGCUACGGUGAAUACGUUCCCGGGCCUUGUACACACCGCCCGUCACACCAUGGGAGUGGGUUGCAAAAGAAGUAGGUAGCUUAACCUUCGGGAGGGCGCUUACCACUUUGUGAUUCAUGACUGGGGUGAAGUCGUAACAAGGUAACCGUAGGGGAACCUGCGGUUGGAUCACCU